ACAAUAUUUCAAAAGAAAGAAGAGAAAACAAAUAUAAAGCAUAUAUAAUAUACGAAAAGAACUAAGCAGACCGUUCAGGAAGUAGCUGAUUGGAUUGUCUCAUACGCGCUCACACACAUUCAAUCACCAGCAGCAGAAUUUUCAAUUCCACAUUAAUAUUAAUUUGUAUAAGUAUGUAAAGUAUGACAUGAAUUUCAUAAAAUUUUUUAAUUAAAAAGGCAUUGAAGAUGCAAUAGUUAGAUAAUAAAAUAUCAGUACGAACAAAAAGUCAAAGAAAAUCUUUCUAUGAUGCUUACUUCGAUUAUCCGAGAUUAGUAGAAUCUGAAGGAAAUCCUGGUGUUGUAAAAGAAACAUAUGAAUGAGCUAUAGCAAAUGUCCCUUCUACUAAGAAGAAGCAAUAUUGGAGAUGAUAUAUCUAUCUAUAAAUAAAUUAUGCUUUCUAUGAAGAACUUGACAUGGAAAAUAUAGGGAGAUGUCGUGAAGUUUACAGGUACAGUUUAUUUUAUAUAUUGUUACGCGCAACCAUGCGUUCAAACCAUUAUUAAUAUUAAUUCGAAUGGAGCAUCGCGAAAUUCACAACAAAUUAUCAAGUACAGAUUUAGACAAAUUUUCUUCACAAUUUAUUAAUCAAAGAUUUUGAGUUCCUAUUUUGGUAGAAUAAAAUCUUCCAGAUAUAACGGGAAUCACGAAAAUGAUAAAAUUCAAAUCUUUGACGAUAAUUACAGCCUAAA